CGGAAACUUCACGAAAAACAGCAAAAUCAAGAUUAGAACCACAACAAGCGCAGCGCACACCGUCUCCAUGUUGUUCAUCUUCCUACAGACAGCAAGAGUUGUGCAACAUCGAGGACAAAGUUUGAUCUACUGAUCGACAGAAACUCUGUCUUCCACAGACUUUUAGCUACUAUUGCUGGCUGUUAAUGGGUGAGUCUGGGGUCUGGCCUAAAACACUCAUCACGCCCUGUUCCGCACCGCGCUCUCUCCGAGCCUCCAGCACUGCUCGACUGGACCCACCGUCUCUCAGGAUAGAAGAAACACGUGCUUUAAGGAUCUUCUCUGUCCUGGCAGCCAGGUGGUGGAAUGAACUUCCCUUAGUAGUCAAGUCGAGAGGGUUUUUAUUGUCUUUCCUCUAUAUGGCUUGUAUACAUUGGAAUGAAAUGACGUUUCUUCAGGACCAUGGUGCAACACGGAACAGUACACAAGAGUAAAUACACAACAGUGUGAGACGAGUAUAAAACAAUAAAUACACAGAACACUAGACACACAGAACAUGGACUGUAACUGUAAGCUAUUGUGUAGUGUAGCAGUCAUACUGGCAGCAAAAACAAGUUCCAUAGUAUAAAGUGACUGGUGCAGAUGUGUAAAGUGCAGAUGUGCAGUAGUACUGAGUCCUACUGGGUUAGGUGUGGGAAGUGAAGGUUCUACUGGGCCUUCUUGACUAGGCAGGUGGGGUUGAGAGUCCAGGAGAGGUCCUCAAUCAUGCACACACCGAGAAACUUGGAGCUUCUGACUUUAGUCUUCUCAACACUAAGAGAUAGGUUGUCUCUACAC